rnacentral:rRNA from 1 species
AUUGAACGCUGGCGGCAGGCCUAACACAUGCAAGUCGAGCGGAUGAUGGGAGCUUGCUCCUGGAUUCAGCGGCGGACGGGUGAGUAAUGCCUAGGAAUCUGCCUGGUAGUGGGGGACAACGUUUCGAAAGGAACGCUAAUACCGCAUACGUCCUACGGGAGAAAGCAGGGGACCUUCGGGCCUUGCGCUAUCAGAUGAGCCUAGGUCGGAUUAGCUUGCUGGUGAGGUAAUGGCUCACCAAGGCGACGAUCCGUAACUGGUCUGAGAGGAUGAUAGGUCAGACUGGAAGUGAGACACGGUCCAGACUCCUACGGGGGGCAGCAGUGGGGAAUAUUGGACAAUGGGCGAAAGCCUGAUCCAGCCAUGCCGCGCGUGUGAAGAAGGUCUUCGGAUUGUAAAGCACUUUAAGUUGGGAGGAAGGGUUGUAGACUAAUACUCUGCAAUUUUGACGUUACCGACAGAAUAAGCACCGGCUAACUCUGUGCCAGCCGCCGCCGUAACAC